GGCCAAAUGGUGUUAAAAAAGGAUAGAAAUUUCUUUAUGUAUGCAACAACAGCAGCAAGAAUACUCAUCGCAAAGUACUGGAAGACACAAGAACUUCCCACGCUGGAGGAAUGGCAGAUGAAACUUAUGGACUAUAUGGAACUGGCUGAAAUGACUGGUAGAAUCCGUGACCAGGGAGAAGAGUCGAUGGAGGAAGACUGGAAGAAGUUCAAAGACUAUCUUCAGAAACACUGCAAAAUUAAGGAAUGUUAGAGUGAUGUUGGACUGAAAACAAGUGGUUUCCAGCUGCACAGGUUAAAGUUAAGGAUAGAUUAAGAUUAAAGAUUAAGAUUAAAGAUGUUUAAAGAAAUGGAAAUUUGAUAUUAAAAGGGAAAACUUUAAAGUUAUAUGAUAUUAAGAUCAAGGAUUAGGUUUAAAAAAGUUGAAGUUAUAUAUUUCAACAUUUUAUUAAAUUAAAGAUAGGGAUUAAAAAAGUGGAAAAGAAACUGCUGGACAAAUAAUGUGAACUAGAAUACAAAAGAGGGAGGUAUGAGGAAGUCUAGAAAAUAAGUAAUUUAAAAUUGGAAAUGGAAAAGAGAGUUUGUUUUUAAUUGUUGUGCUUUGUGUUUUUAUUGUUAAGUUUUGUAUUGUUUUUUGUGUGUGUGUGUGUUUUUUGUUUUGUUGUUUAAAACUUU